ACUCCUACGGGAGGCAGCAGUGGGGAAUCUUGGACAAUGGGGGCAACCCUGAUCCAGCCAUGCCGCGUGAGUGAUGAAGGCCUUAGGGUCGUAAAGCUCUUUCGCCUGUGAUGAUAAUGACAGUAGCAGGUAAAGAAACCCCGGCUAACUCCGUGCCAGCAGCCGCGGUAAUACGGAGGGGGUUAGCGUUGUUCGGAAUUACUGGGCGUAAAGCGCGCGUAGGCGGAUUAGUCAGUUAGAGGUGAAAUCCCAGGGCUCAACCCUGGAACUGCCUUUAAUACUGCUAGUCUUGAGUUCGAGAGAGGUGAGUGGAAUUCCGAGUGUAGAGGUGAAAUUCGUAGAUAUUCGGAGGAACACCAGUGGCGAAGGCGGCUCACUGGCUCGAUACUGACGCUGAGGUGCGAAAGUGUGGGGAGCAAACAGGAUUAGAUACCCUGGUAGGAUAGCG
rnacentral:rRNA from 1 species